AUGCGAAUAGAAAGUAGCAAGGUUGUACAAAUGACAAAUUAUCAUAUUAAAGUGUAGCGAUCAAGGUCCGAGUUGCAAGAUAGAUUGUACGGGGAUCCUGGAGUAUGUAAAAUGUUAGAUAAAGUUAAACUUUUAUUUUGUAAUUAAGUACGAAGGAUGCGUAUAUUGUAAAAAGGUUAUUAUAUAAUGAAGAUACAAGUAAGACAAAACGUUUUUAAUGAAAGAAAUUUUAUGAUACGUAAUUCCGCUGCGUCUUUCCAGUUAAAGCGUGUUAGGGUGUUACAAGUUGGUAUCAGAGCCCUGGUUUGAGAGAAUCAAGUAGAAGGAGGUAAAUGCUUGAACUCAAACCGGUGUGCUCUCGUGACUAAGGACCCGUACAAUCUAAGACUCGAUCAAGAUCUAGGAACAGAAGCCAAGGUAAGUAUGUGCUUAAGUAUGUGUUUGAAGAUAACUAACAGUAUGUUAUGUGUAAGGUCAGCAUGAUUGCUUGGAAAGGAUGAAUUAUAAAUGCAGUCUAGCGAUGGCACCAAGGUAUAUAAUAUGACAUAUUGACCGAGGUACGUAGAUUUAACUUAUUGGUGCAUGAAAUGGUAUGUUUAAGCAAGUAAAAGAAAAUUUCAAAUGAAAUAUAAUAAUGACAGAGUAAGGAAGUUUUGAAAAUGUUACACGUGCCGAAACUUAAUUCUGCGGACAUAAGGUGGUGAUUACGCGAAGGCACGAAACAAGUAUGUGGAUUGUGUACCUGGCCAGUACACGAGAAACAUAUGACGUUCGUGAGACCGUGAUAAUUGUUACAGGUAUGUCCGUUAGAAUUAGGUAGUAGGUGGACGUGGGGAGGGAGAUGAAGGGAAAUGUAAGACUUUCAGGAAUGAAAGUAUGAAUGAUCUGUUGAAUCCGUGAGACGGAUUCAACACGUGUAAGGAAUGAAAGAUAUGAAUGGAAUGUUUGAAUCCGCGAGACGGAUUCAAGAAAUGAAAGGCUCGAAUGGGACGUUUGAAUCCGCAAGACGGAUUCAAUGAAUGAAAUGCAGGAAUGACAUGCUUGAAUCUGCGAGACAGAUUCAAAUUAUGGAAAGAAAAAAAAAUGAAUGAAUGGUAGGUUAGAAAC
rnacentral:lncRNA from 1 species